UUAGGCACUGCAGAAAAAGGAUUCAUCUGGAUUACUUCAUUUUAUUUAUCUUUCAAUGCAAAUUUACAGAAAACUCUCAGAGACAUCUUGACUUUUUUUUGUCUUCAAUGAUUACUCUUAAAUCAGUCCUCAAAUAUUUGUAAUAAUCUUUUGAUGAAACUUGCUCAUAGUGUUUGAUGACUGCUGUUUGAUGUUUGGUAUUUGUACUUGCAUUGUGUUUUGUUUUUAGUUAUGGAUCAAACAAGAACCAAGAGUUGAAAAGUCAAUCUCCAGUAAGCAGGGCUAAGGCAUUCACCUGGGCCUGGAACACACUGGAGGAAUGGAACAGAACAGGAGCAGGUCUCAUCUUGUGCAGGGAGAGGCUGGCACACCCUUUACACACGCACAAUAAACAGAUACAUUCCCUCUAUAAGUAUGUCAUUCUUCUCUCCUCAGUGUUUCCUCAGUGUUUUAUGUUCCAUUUUGACUCAUUUUGUGUUUUGUUUUCUGAUAAGGUUCCAAGGAGUACUCAGCUAUGAAUUGGGGCAAAGGAAAAGACUCAUAGGCUGACUGGAAUUAGCCAUGCAUUCUAUCCUUCAUUCCACCGGAGUCUGUGGCAUGAACCAUUCAGAUUUCAGUGUUGUGAAGAGUAAGAAACAUGGACUUUAUCGUCAAUAGAAAAGAUUAGAGAAUUGGAUUCUCUACUCUGUMACUAUGGACUCAAAUCAGUAACUUAAAUGAAUUUAACAUUGUUUUCAGCAUUGUACUGCAGACAUACUGUAUAUAAAAAAACAUUAGGAGUAUUUUUUACAUAGAUCAGUAAAGAAUCAAAGCCUGACGGAGCGGUGCAAACAUGAAUAAAGUGUUACUACCUGCAUUAGAUUUAAUUUA